CAGGAGAGUAACCGGAUAAAUCUGUCUGUUAAUGUGUCACGUUCAGGUCAGAUUUCUGUCUUCAACAUCCUCAGUUUUCUUCUGGCAGCUUGUCCGUAUCUGCUGGCGACAGUCGUGCUGCUGUUCAAAUGCUACAGAGCGAGAGUUACAUCUACUGAAGACCAAAGCCAGUAUGCCGUAACAGAGGAACAAACUUCAACCUGAUUUCAUCAAUUCUUCAAACCGCAUGUAUAGAGUCACAGGAUGCUGGAGCCUCAGACUGAAGGCUGGGAAACUCGCAAGACUAACAGACACA